rnacentral:rRNA from 1 species
CCUACGGGGGGCAGCAGUGGGGAAUAUUGGACAAUGGGGGCAACCCUGAUCCAGCCAUGCCGCGUGUGUGAAGAAGGCCCUCGGGUUGUAAAGCACUUUCAGUGAGGAAGAACGCCUGGUGGUUAAUACCCAUCAGGAAAGACAUCACUCACAGAAGAAGCACCGGCUAACUCCGUGCCAGCAGCCGCGGUAAUACGGAGGGUGCGAGCGUUAAUCGGAAUUACUGGGCGUAAAGCGCGCGUAGGUGGCUUGAUAAGCCGGUUGUGAAAGCCCCGGGCUCAACCUGGGAACGGCAGCCGGAACUGGCAAGCUAGAGUGCAGGAGAGGAAGGUAGAAUUCCCGGUGUAGCGGUGAAAUGCGUAGAGAUCGGGAGGAAUACCAGUGGCGAAGGCGGCCUUCUGGACUGACACUGACACUGAGGUGCGAAAGCGUGGGUAGCAAACAGGAUUAGAUACCCCAGUAGUC